AGUGAACGCUGGCGGUAGGCCUAACACAUGCAAGUCGAACGGCAGCACAGUAAGAGCUUGCUCUUACGGGUGGCGAGUGGCGGACGGGUGAGGAAUACAUCGGAAUCUACUUUUUCGUGGGGGAUAACGUAGGGAAACUUACGCUAAUACCGCAUACGACCUACGGGUGAAAGCAGGGGAUCUUCGGACCUUGCGCGAUUGAAUGAGCCGAUGUCGGAUUAGCUAGUUGGCGGGGUAAAGGCCCACCGAGGCGACGAUCCGUAGCUGGUCUGAGAGGAUGAUCAGCCACACUGGAACUGAGACACGGUCCAGACUCCUACGGGAGGCAGCAGUGGGGAAUAUUGGACAAUGGGGGCAAGCCUGAUCCAGCCAUACCGCGUGGGUGAAGAAGGCCUUCGGGUUGUAAAGCCCUUUUGUUGGGAAAGAAAAGCAGCAGGUUAAUACCCCGCUGUUCUGACGGUACCCAAAGAAUAAGCACCGGCUAACUUCGUG
rnacentral:rRNA from 1 species